UAUGUGUGUGUGUGUGUGUGUGUGUGUGUGUGUUGAAUUUGAGAGACACUGAGUACACAUAUCCUUUGUGUGGAGGGAGAUAGCCGGGUCAGUUUUGGCUUGAUAUACUGCUAAUGCAGAAGCAAGAUGUGGAGGUUCUCCCAGGAAAAUCAAUAACCUGCUUGCUAACACCUCUCCAUAGUGAUUUGUCUCAAAUGAGAACACUGGCUGUGCACGUGUGUUCAAAGCAAAUGGCAAAAAUUUCUACUAUUUUCUCCCAGAAUCUUCUUGAAUAUUAAAGCAAAUCAUGGCUGGGGGCUGGUGCUAAGGAGCUAAGUGGGUGUGUAGAGGAAGAAGUAUUUGUGGAAAUAGCAUUGGCCAGGAUUGACUGAGAGGACAGGGAUUUCUUAAUUUGGCAGAUUCCACACGGUGCACUUGGUGUCUAAAACAAAAACAGAUGAUGCAAACUAGAAGUCACCAUGAUUAUGGGACACAUAUGUGAUCUGAUAUUAUAGGUAGGGAAUCAGCUGUGAACUAUAAAGGUCCAAAUUUCAUCGACCACCUUCCCUGCCUGCAUGGAUCUGCUGCUGUUUCUGUGAUAUUUCCAGCAUCUCCCUCUCCUUUUCUCUCUCUCAAUUUAAUUUUAGUUUCUCUCAAGCUUCCAAGUAGUGCUCACUGCUCUAAGGAAACACUGAAGGAAGGAAAGGGUAGGGAGAGAGGAAGAGGAGGGGAGGCAGAGGAGAAACAUUGGAGAGCAAAGCAGCCUGACAGCCCAGCUGUUUGCAAACUCAUUGCACAUCCUCCAGUUACAUGGCAGAGAGGGAGGGAGGGAGGACAGAAAAGGGGAGGAAGAAAAAAAUAAAUUAUACACACACGAAAAUAAAAGAGAAGGAAGCAACUGUGAGUUGGUGAUCCAGGAGGCAGGGAGGGAGGGGUAACCCUUUUACCUGUGCUGAACUUGGGAGUGGGAACAGGAGGGAAGGAAAG